CCUACGGGAGGCAGCAGUGGGGAAUUUUGGACAAUGGGCGCAAGCCUGAUCCAGCCAUUCCGCGUGAGUGAAGAAGGCCUUCGGGUUGUAAAGCUCUUUCGCAAGGGAAGAAAACUUACACAAUAACACUGUGUGAGGCUGACGGUACCUUGAUAAGAAGCACCGGCUAACUACGUGCCAGCAGCCGCGGUAAUACGUAGGGUGCGAGCGUUAAUCGGAAUUACUGGGCGUAAAGCGUGCGCAGGCGGUUUUGUAAGUCAGAUGUGAAAUCCCCGAGCUCAACUUGGGAACUGCGUUUGAAACUACAAGACUAGAAUAUGUCAGAGGGGGGUAGAAUUCCACGUGUAGCAGUGAAAUGCGUAGAGAUGUGGAGGAAUACCAAUGGCGAAGGCAGCCUCCUGGGAUAAUAUUGACGCUCAUGCACGAAAGCGUGGGGAGCAAACAGGAUUAGAUACCCUGGUAGUCCACGCCCUAAACGAUGUCUACUAGUUGUUGGUGGAGUAAAAUCCAUGAGUAACGCAGCUAACGCGUGAAGUAGACCGCCUGGGGAGUCGGUCGCAAGAUUAAACGUUAAAGGAAUUGACGGCNGAGAGAGCGAGACGACGACGAGGGAGGAGG
rnacentral:rRNA from 1 species